AUAUUUGUCACGGCUUGAGCUGAGCUUUCACUUGCCGUCCACCACUACUGUUUGCUGCUGUCACAGACCCGCCGCUGACUCCCAUCCCGCUGCUGACUCCCAUCCCUCCGGAUCCGGCAGGGUGUCCGCUGUGCUCCUGAUCCAGCAAGACUCCCAUUGCCACUCCCGAUAGUGCUAAAGGCUUGCCAUUGUUCCUGCAUGGCUAAGUGCCUGGGUUCGUCCUAAUCCAGCUGAACACUAGUCACUGGGUUCCACGGUUCUCUUCCAUGACCCGCGGCUUCUAAUAGAGCUAUAACACUCACCACAUGGCCCAAUAUUCCAUUCCUUGGAAUCCGUGAGGCCAAGAACCCCAGGUCAGAGAACACGAGGCUUGCCACCAUCUUGGAAGCAGCCUGCCACCAUCUUGGAAGUGGCUCACCACCGUCUUGGGAGUUCUGUGAACAAGGACCCCUGGUAACAUUUUGGCGACCACGAAGGGACAUCCAAAGCUAUAUGAAGAAUAGAGCCAAUAUUACAACAAAUAACCUUCAUGCCUGCAAAAACUUUUUCAGCUUAACUAAUGCUUGUGAUGUUUAACGCCUGUCUUUUCAACUUGGUCUACUGAGUCUUCAAUACUGGUGACUGAGCUGCUUGAAGUGAACUCUGGACAAGGUGGAGAGCAUCUUCUUGAUUUAAGAUAUCUUGCAGUAAGGGAAGCUCUGUCCUGAGAAGCCUUUACAGAGGCACAGGAAGAGGCCAGGACCUGAAGCCUCCCCCUCCCCCAAGAGUCACAUAAGUGAGCUUGGAAGAGGAACUUCAGCACCAACUGGCAAUGUAACUAGUGCUGCGUGAAAGACCCUGAACCAGAACCACCUAAAUAAGCCCCUUCCAGAUACCUGAGCCUUAGAAACUAUGUAAUAUAAUAAAGACUUGUUUGGGGGCAAUUUAUAACCCAGAACUGGAUAACCAAUACAGUUAUGUUUUUAACAAACAGCUGGCUGGGGUGAAGAGUGCAGGUUGAAACAACAAAAAUAAUUUUCCCCGUAGAAAUGUACCUCACCCAUAUGAAAAAUUAUACUUGCAAUCAGAUUCUCAGCAGCAGUGCUUUAAAGUACAUUUGUAUUUAUUUUUAAUUGACAAAUUAAAAAUUAUAUAUGUUUAUGGUGUAAAACAUGAUGCUUUGAUAUAGGUAUAAACCGUGGAAUGGCUAAAUUAAGCUAAUUAG
rnacentral:lncRNA from 1 species